CGUGGCCAUCCCUGAGCGCUCCUACAGGUCCUAUAAGGUGGGCCCAGUGGUAGUGUGUCUGAUAGGUGUACGGUUCAACUAGGCCACAGUCCUAUGCUGUUUGAGAGACGCACAGCACACUGUAUCUGAGUCCCCUUCUCAGAUUCUACGGAGGCAGCAGUGGGUAUUUUGCACAUCGCGCCAGCCUGAUGCAGCAUGCGGUGUGUGAGAUGCUCGGUUGUAAGCACUUCAGCGGGAGAGCGUGAGUAUACGUCGUCGAUGACGUACCCGCAGAAGAGCACUGCUAACUCGUGCCAGCAGCCGCGGUAAUACGGAGGGUGCAGCGUUAUCGGAAUUACUGGGCGUAAAGCGCACGCGGGCGGUCUGUCAAGUCGGAUGUGAAAUCCCCGGGCUCACCUGGGAACUGCAUUCGAAACUGGCAGGCUAGAGUCUUGUAGAGGGGGGUAGAAUUCCAGGUGUAGCGGUGAAAUGCGUAGAGAUCUGGAGGAAUACCGGUGGCGAAGGCGGCCCCCUGGACAAAGACUGACGCUCAGGUGCGAGAGCGUGGGGAGCAAACAGGAUUAGAUACCCUGGUAGUCCACGCCGUAAACGAUGUCGAUUUGGAGGUUGUGCCCUUGAGGCGUGGCUUCCGGAGCUAACGCGUUAAAUCGACCGCCUGGGGAGUACGGCCGCAAGGUUAAAACUCAAAUGAAUUGACGGGGGCCCGCACAAGCGGUGGAGCAUGUGGUUUAAUUCGAUGCAACGCGAAGAACCUUACCUGGUCUUGACAUCCACAGAACUUAGCAGAGAUGGAUUGGUGCCUUCGGGAACUGUGAGACAGGUGCUGCAUGGCUGUCGUCAGCUCGUGUUGUGAAAUGUUGGGUUAAGUCCCGCAACGAGCGCAACCCUUAUCCUUUGUUGCCAGCGGUCCGGCCGGGAACUCAAAGGAGACUGCCAGUGAUAAACUGGAGGAAGGUGGGGAUGACGUCAAGUCAUCAUGGCCCUUACGACCAGGGCUACACACGUGCUACAAUGGCAUAUACAAAGAGAAGCGACCUCGCGAGAGCAAGCGGACCUCAUAAAGUAUGUCGUAGUCCGGAUUGGAGUCUGCAACUCGACUCCAUGAAGUCGGAAUCGCUAGUAAUCGUAGAUCAGAAUGCUACGGUGAAUACGUUCCCGGGCCUUGUACACACCGCCCGUCACACCAUGGGAUUUGGUUGCAAAAGAAGUAGGUAGAUGUACCUUCAGGAUGACACACUGCCAGAGUUUUAGGCAUGC
rnacentral:rRNA from 1 species